rnacentral:rRNA from 1 species
UACGUAGGGUGCGAGCGUUGUCCGGAAUUAUUGGGCGUAAAGAGCUCGUAGGCGGUUUGUUGCGUCGGCCGUGAAAACCUGCAGCUUAACUGUGGGCCUGCGGCCGAUACGGGCAGACUAGAGGUAUGCAGGGGAGAACGGAAUUCCUGGUGUAGCGGUGAAAUGCGCAGAUAUCAGGAGGAACACCGGUGGCGAAGGCGGUUCUCUGGGCAUGAUCUGACGCUGAGGAGCGAAAGUGUGGGGAGCGAACAGG